GGCACAUGCUGUCAGCUGGAAAGCUGAGAAAGAAAGCUGGAAAGAAGCACCAACAGCUAACUGCUAACAACUAAUCGUAUUCCUUGUGGAAAGCUUUCUCCUGAAGAGAGAUCUGAGCUGCUUGUUUGAUUCCAUGGCUGCCACAGGCCGAGGAGGUUGACCCCUAGGGAUCAUAUUACUUGGACUCCCUGCCUCCUGGAUGCCAGAGCCAUGGACACCUGUCCCGUCCAUGUUGAGGACAGCUGGCAGAGCAGGAGGUCAGCAGGCCCGAGAAGGGCUCUGUCUGCCAGCAGCACCAGCCUGGGUAAGCCAUACAGGACCCGCUCUCCAUGGACCAGCGUUACAGACGCUCCUGCAUGCAUCCAGUUACCACCAGCAGAUGAUACUCCCGCCAGUGGCUAAUUGAAUCUCAUUUGCUUCAUUGCUGGCUGCGUGAUCGUAGGAGUUUCUUUGAAUUUAUGACAGAUGCUGGCCGAAGAGCCCUCAGAAAUUGGAAUGUUUUUGGCAUUUUAAGACGAUUAGGCUCCGAGGAUCCUUACUACACAUAGGGCUGGAGACCUGGCAUCCUCCCCAUUUUUCAUCUCUACAGAUCCAACAACACAAGAGCCAAUUAAGUGAACAAUCAGGCUUCGUGACUUCUCAGGCACUGUUUCCAUCAGCGGAGGACGGAGCAGACCGAACAAUUUGUGUAUUUGGGGUAAACAUAUUUGAGAAAUGAAUGCACUCAGCCAUCUGAGAUAAUAUUCAGAAAUAAAAUUAUGGUUAAAUAUAGAAACAAUUGGCUUCCCUCUAUGCUGAAGACAUUGGUGAUGAAUUUUCUAGAGACGCUUUCUGUACUCCAGUGAUACUCAGGAUUCAUGGUUUAUAGAUUGCCGCAUUGUUCGUUUGUGAUAGACACAGAACUCGGGUGACUGAUGGCUGGUUUCCUGGAAGCUUAGAAACAUGAUGUGCAAGUG